UAACCUUGUGGGCUGGCCAGCCACCAGGCUGGGCUGGGUGAGCAUCUCUUCGAAAGGCUUGCCCUAAAGCACGACUAGGAGC
rnacentral:pre_miRNA from 1 species